AGCUUUGCACAGUGGCACUAUUGUAGCCAAUGAGGUUUAUCCGAGAAGUGAUUAUUGCUAAUUGAAAAAUUACCCAUUGCUUAUCUGAAAUUUAAAUGUAACUGGGCAUCCUGUAUUUUUAUUUUCUAAAUCUGACACACCCAUUCAGGA
ensembl:snRNA U4 U4 spliceosomal RNA